CAGGUCCGCCUUCGAGGGUGCUACACAGAUGCUGCAUGGUUGUCGUCAGCUCGUGUCGUGAGAUGUACCGUUAAGUCGGGAAACGAGCGCAACCCUUUUCUUAUGUUUUAUAUGUCAUAAGAUACUGCCCGUUUUAAAUGGGAGGAAGGUGGGAUGACGUCAAAUCAGCAUGGUUCUUACACCUUGGGCAACACACGUGCUACAAUGGGAAGUACAAAGGGACGCCAGAUCGCGAGAUGGAGCAAAUCCCUAAAAACUUUUCUCAGUUCGGAUUGGAGUCUGCAACUCGACUCCAUGAAGCUGGAAUCGCUAGUAAUCGUGGAUCAGCUAUGCCACGGUGAAUACGUUCUCG
rnacentral:rRNA from 1 species